UACAGAGGGUGCUAGCGUUAAUCGGAAUUACUGGGCGUAAAGCGUGCGCAGGUGGCCGCGCAUGUCGAGUGUGAAAUCCCCGGGCUUAACUUGGGAAUUGCGCUCGAAACUACGUGGCUCGAGUGUGGCAGAGGAAGGUGGAAUUCCACGUGUAGCGGUGAAAUGCGUAGAGAUGUGGAGGAACACCGAUGGCGAAGGCAGCCUUCUGGGCCAACACUGACGCUCAUGCACGAAAGCGUGGGGAGCAAACAGG
rnacentral:rRNA from 1 species